AGAGAGAGAGAGAGAGAGAGAGAGAGAGAGAGAGAGAGAGAGAGAGAGAGAGAGAGAGAGUCAGUGGGAGCCGGGCAGCAGGGCAGUUACCAUGGUUAGAUUUCCUUCUCCACUCAGGGUAUGGGUGGUGGUGGUGGUGGUGGUCAUGGUGGCGGAGGGCGCGCCGAAGCGUCACUAUGAUAAGACCAUAAAGAGAUACACUAAUGAGAAAACGUGCUGGUGGAAUGAGAUUUGCAAGGAAGAAUUUCAACAAGAAUUCCGAUGUAAAUGCCCAAGAUUCUCCUACUGUCGCUCUCCUGGCCGGUACUACAAUGCCUUCUGUUUCCGUAAUGGGAUCCGGUUACGUGUGGACUCAACCGAAGUUCCCCGUGCAUCACCAGGCGCCACCACCACCACCCGCCCGUUAGUGGUGGUGGUGGUGGUGUUGUUGGAGGCGGUGGUCUGCUUCCAUCACCCUAUGGCUACGUGGGGGGAAAGUAGGGUAGUGGUGGUGGUGGUGGUGGUGAAGGGAAAAAAAUAGAGAAACAUCAUUUUUGUUUCUGUUUAGAGUGUUUUGUGAAGGAUGAGGAAGAGGAGGCAAUGUUGGUGAUGGUGGUGGUGUAAGGGGAGAUGAAGGGAGAAGAAUGCAACCAGUUUUUUUGUUCAUACUAGACUGACUGGACUACUGGACUGGAGGAGGAGGAGGAGGAGGAGGAGGAGGAGGUAUGAAAGAUAUGUAUGUAUAGAUGAAAGAUAAUGCAGUAUUAAAAUGCAUCCUAAAACACACACACACACACACAUACACACACACACACAGAAACCUAUCUAUACGUAUCAAAACUCUUUGUUAUGUAUGUAUUUUGCAUGUAUCAACUUACGAAUAUGUAUGACUCAGAGAGAGAGAGAGAGAGAGAGAGAGAGAGAGAGAGAGAGAGAGAGAGAGAGAGAGAGAGAGAGAGAGAGAGAGAGAGAGAGAGAGAGAGUGAGAGAGAGAGAGAAUCAGUCAAUAGAUAUCAAUGUUGCAUUUUUAGUGUGUGUGUGUGUGUGUGUGUGUGUGUGUGUGUGUGUGUGUGUGUGUGUGUGUGUGUGGUGUGUGUGUGUGUGUGUGUGUGUGUGUGUGUGUGUGUGUGUGUGUGUGUGUGUCGAAAGCCUAGUAUGCAUAACCUCGACGUAUACAUACAAUACUCAAAUACCUGUAUAUGCAAUGUAUAACAACUACAGUUAACAUAACCUUGAUGUAUACAUAAUUAUAAUACAUCUAAUCCUACUGUAUAUGCAAUGUAUAACAACUACAGUAUACAGAAAUAUACUCAAUAAAAAUAAAAAAUCUUACAAGU